UACGAAGGGGGCUAGCGUUGCUCGGAAUGACUGGGCGUAAAGGGCGCGUAGGCGGCCUUCUAAGUCGAACGUGAAAUCCCCGGGCUCAACCCGGGAACUGCGUCCGAUACUGGGAGGCUUGAAUCCGGGAGAGGGAUGCGGAAUUCCGAGGUGUAGCGGUGAAAUGCGUAGAUAUCUGGAGGAACACCGGUGGCGAAGGCGGCGUCCUGG
rnacentral:rRNA from 1 species